rnacentral:rRNA from 1 species
UAGUCCACGCUGUAAACGAUGUCUACUAGCCGUUGGUCUCCUUGAGGGGGCAGUGGCGCAGCUAACGCGAUAAGUAGACCGCCUGGGGAGUACGGCCGCAAGGUUAAAACUCGAAUGAAUUGACGGGGGCCCGCACAAGCGGUGGAGCAUGUGGUUUAAUUCGAUGCAACGCGAAGAACCUUACCAGGUCUUGACAUCCUGAAAACUUUCUAGAGAUAGAUUGGUGCCUUCGGGAAUUCAGUGACAGGUGCUGCAUGGCUGUCGUCAGCUCGUGUCGUGAGAUGUUGGGUUAAGUCCCGUAACGAGCGCAACCCUUGUCCUUAGUUGCAGCGCGUAAUGGCGGGAACUCUAAGGAGACUGCCGGUGACAAACCGGAGGAAGGUGGGACGACGUCAAGUCAUCAUGGCCCUUACGACCUGGGCUACACACGUGCUACAAUGGAACGCACAAAGGGCAGCAAACCCGCGAGGGGGAGCGAAUCCCACAAAACGUUUCGUAGUCCGGAUUGGAGUCUGC